rnacentral:rRNA from 1 species
CACGUAGGGCGCAAGCGUUGUCCGGAAUUAUUGGGCGUAAAGAGCUCGUAGGCGGUCUGUUACGUCUGCUGUGAAAACCCUGGGCUUAACCCUGGGCUUGCAGUGGAUACGGGCAGACUAGAGGCAGGUAGGGGAAGAAUGGAAUUCCCGGUGUAGCGGUGAAAUGCGCAGAUAUCGGGAGGAACACCGGUGGCGAAGGCGGUUCUCUGGGCCUGACCUGACGCUGAGGAGCGAAAGCGUGGGGAGCGAACAGGAU